rnacentral:lncRNA from 1 species
AAGGAAUUUGACUGAAAUUCCUUUGCCACAAGUUUUAGUCACGGAGUUAGAAAAUAAAUUUCAGUAUUAUUUGAGGGUCAUGGGAGAAUGUCUCAGCCUAUGUCACCCGGGUGACACGGACACGGCUUCAACGGCUGAGAUUUUGAUGAUGGAAGAACAUAAAAGGGCACACACUUGGACUAAACAUGGUGAAUUGUUUUGUUCAUACGGCUCUGGAGGAUUAAUGAUAGUUGAUGACAAAGGAUGGCGGCUUCUUGAUCAGAGCACAAAAUGGCCCAAACCCCAUAUGAUGUUUGGUGAGGAAAGAGAGUGUAUGCUGCCCUGUGGUUUGUAUAGAGAGAGUUUACUAUCACUCACUAAUGACUUUCAGGAAGCAAGUGAAGAUGACCAGCUGACGAUUUCCUUGGUGGGGACAAGUGAAGAUGACCAAUAGGCAAUAGUAUCUGGCAAUAAGAAUUAGGGUAUGUAAUUCUUCAAUCCUUUUCACAGCUUCAUUACUAUUUAUCAUCCAUAACGAAAAUUGAGAAGUCAUAUGCAGAUUUGUUUGCCUUGCUUGAUGAUUUUUAGGAUUGAAAUAAGUGAUUUAUAUACAUGUCAUGGAUAAAAAUGAGUUUGCCUUGCUUUAGGAUAUACUAUAACAAUACAAUGACAGCAGUACAAUAUUUGCAUAUCUUUAUAUUUUUUUGAUACUCUAUUUUUCAUAUGUAUUUAGUAUUAUACUUUUGCUUUUUUAUUUCAUAGAAAGGUUGACUGUGGUGUAACUAACUAAUGAAAUAGCUCUUAUUUUACAGAUAUCACGACUAUAGGCUUAUGCAAAAAUUUAGCUUUAAUAACAAUGUAAUUUGCCAGGAAAAAAUUUUGUACUUCAUUUACUUUAUGCUACCAGGUGCUCACAGCUAGUGAUGCAGAGCAAAGUAAAGUUGGGAAUAAAGAGAAGAAUACUUGAAAUGAGAGGGAUAGGAGUGUAAUUUGGAGAAUAGGGAGAGGGAGAAGUGAAGAUGGGAACUUGGGAAGAUUCAGACUGUGUAGCAGUUCUUGACUAGCCAAUCCCCUGGUUUAUCCUGAUAAAGCAGACAUCUUGGACUAAGUUAUUUGUUUUUUCUACUUGUAACAUUCCCCGAGAUGUCAUUCAUCCAAUAUGUUUCACCAAACAUGGUGAAUUGUUUUGUUCAUACGGCUCUGGAGGAUUAAUGAUAGUUGAUGACAAAGGAUGGCGGCUUCUUGAUCAGAGCACAAAAUGGCCCAAACCCCAUAUGAUGUUUGGUGAGGAAAGAGAGUGUAUGCUGCCCUGUGGUUUGUAUAGAGAGAGUUUACUAUCACUCACUAAUGACUUUCAGGAAGCAAGUGAAGAUGACCAGCUGACGAUUUCCUUGGUGGGGACAAGUGAAGAUGACCAAUAGGCAAUAGUAUCUGGCAAUAAGAAUUAGGGUAUGUAAUUCUUCAAUCCUUUUCACAGCUUCAUUACUAUUUAUCAUCCAUAACGAAAAUUGAGAAGUCAUAUGCAGAUUUGUUUGCCUUGCUUGAUGAUUUUUAGGAUUGAAAUAAGUGAUUUAUAUACAUGUCAUGGAUAAAAAUGAGUUUGCCUUGCUUUAGGAUAUACUAUAACAAUACAAUGACAGCAGUACAAUAUUUGCAUAUCUUUAUAUUUUUUUGAUACUCUAUUUUUCAUAUGUAUUUAGUAUUAUACUUUUGCUUUUUUAUUUCAUAGAAAGGUUGACUGUGGUGUAACUAACUAAUGAAAUAGCUCUUAUUUUACAGAUAUCACGACUAUAGGCUUAUGCAAAAAUUUAGCUUUAAUAACAAUGUAAUUUGCCAGGAAAAAAUUUUGUACUUCAUUUACUUUAUGCUACCAGGUGCUCACAGCUAGUGAUGCAGAGCAAAGUAAAGUUGGGAAUAAAGAGAAGAAUAUUUGAAAAUAGAGGGAUAGUAGUGUAAUUUGGAGAAUAGGGAGAGGGAGAAGUGAAGAUGGGAUUAUGGGAACUUGGGAAGAUUCAGACUGUGUAGCAGUUCUUAACUAGCCAACCCCCCGGUUUGUCCUGAUACACACGCAAUAUGAUAGCCAAGUAAUCCUAAUUUGACAGAGAUACUGAUUUAUUAGAGAAGAUAUUAUCAAGAGCCCUACUUUUAGUAAACUACUGAACUGCGCAAAUAUGUAGUUACAAAAUGUGUUUUGGGAGAGAUUAUAUGCAAAUACAAGUCUGGAGGGAUACACUGAUAGGUCCUUGCAUUCGAGAGACUCAGAACUCUCCACAAGUCCUCUCGAUGCUAGUGAUACCAUCUGUAAUGCUUCUUCCUCUUAUGUAUAGCCUCUCCUCCCUCACUCAAUCUCUACUCACUCCCUUUAAGUAACUAAUUACUAACCAUUCCACUAACUAACCAUAACAAGUUUCAGCUAGUUCGGGUAUUAUUCAUAGAAUUACAACUUUAAGAUCUCCCAUUCCAUGAGAUUAGGAAAUUAUUCAUAAGAUGUUGAGUUGGGUGUGAGUUAAGAUUUGAUGACUGUGGAAUUUGGACGUACAGAAAUGGAUGGUUAUGACUUGCUUAAGUUGCUAUGCCUUGUAGUUGACCUAGGAGCUCAACUAAUGGUGUCGCAUUCUGGAUAACCGAUUAGAAAUCCAGAUGGUUUCUAACCUUUUUGAAACCUCAAAGACAAUAAAGUAAUCGAAUUCGAAUUUUAAUUUUUUGGCCCUGGUUAUGCUUUUUAUGUCUAUGAUAGGUACUUGGAGUUAGUCAGUUAGUAGAGGGGUUAGUUAGUCAGUUGGGGGUUAGGGAGGCAAGCGCCUAUAAAUAAGAGUGGUCUCUCGAAUACCAGGGAAAUUAGGGAUAGUCCUGGUCUCUCAAAUACCUGGGAUUUGUGCAGUUUUCAUGUCAUUCUUUGCCAUAAUACUCAGUGUUUCACUUUGUUUAUAGCUGGUACCCAUCAGUGCUGUACUCUAAGAAAGUACACAAUAACAUUAUUAAAACACUCUUUCAAUCCAUAAAGUGAAACAACUUAAUUAUUAUUCUUUCUAAUUAGUAUAUUGUUGACAUCAAAGUACAGCGUCUGUAAAUAAUUACAAAAAUUGUUUGAGAUUCUCUUAAAACAAUUUCCCUCUUUUGGAGUUGGACCUGUUAAUUUCUAGUUUAUAAUCCAGGGUCGUGUUAGAAAUAUGAGGGAAACAUGUUAGUGACCUUAUGCUCAUUUUCUUUUAUUGUUUGCUUCAUCGCUAAUAAAACUUGCAUUGAUUCACUCACGCAUUUUUGGCUUCUUCUGCCAGUGCUAAUUAAACUUAUCCUUGCAAUAUCUUUCAAAAUGUGUUUAGUGAAUCUUCCAUCUCAAAUUGAUCAAGUGUGAUUGAUAUUUAUGUAACAUAUGCUCCUCUCUCUCUGUCUCUCAUAAUUUAAAUAUCUUUCUUUUUCUUUUUCUAAAUUUUGCAGAUAUGAGAAAGAACUUCCCGUUUGAGCUAUUUUACUUGGGUGGUGAUGAAGUUAAUACAAGUCAAUUUUAUUGGUUUCCUUCUUGCAACAUCCUAGCUAACCACUUGACCUAAAAGCAUAAGUUGUUCAAUGUCUAAAUUUUUUUUUUAUCAGUAGUAGAACUAAGUUGAACUCUAAAGUCAUAAAUGCUAUAUGAGGGCACUUGAUGAUCCUGCAUUUUCCCUUCUUCAUGGACAACGGGUAUUGUAGGUUGAUUUGUGACAGCUAGUCCUUACUCUGCUAAAGUUAUCGCAUGAAUAAACUACAAUGAAAUUUAUAUUCUAUGUUUAGAUAUAUCAGGGGGUUAUGAUUCAUCCCCACCCUUAAUUUAUUUUAUUUUCACUCAUUUCUCUUUCUAUUUCUUUCUUCUUUUUUCUAUUACACUGCAUAUCAUAUCUCACAUUUCUCUCACUUUUUUUCUUUUUCUUCACCGUGUAAGUGGAAUUCAAGUGUGAGCAUAUACUUAUUGAUUAUGAGGGACGGUUUCUAAAUCUUUAGGGCCUGCCUCUUUUGACAAAAUAUUUUCUGUGUGAACAAUUACUUUAAAAGAGAGAAUAAAAUGAAAAUAGGAUAACAUUAUUGUAAUUAUUAGCAAAAUCAGGAAAUGGAAUUAGAAUUGUACUAUAUUUUUUCAAAUGAAGCAGGCUUUAAAAAUUUGUGGACCAAGUUUCCUUAUGUACUUAUUUUUUUUCCAAUUUUCGUCCUCAUUCUUGUUUUAUCUGGAUGAGAGUGCUUGAUAGUCUCAUCAUUAUUUUUGGUUAAGACUUGAGUAUUCAUUGCUGAAAGUAUGAUUCUUUUCAAUUUUAACGUUGUCUAAAUUCUAAUUAAAUUCAAAACUUUAACUAUGAUUUUUUUUUUUAAACAACCUUCAUACAAAUUAAAUGAUAGAGGGCCAGAGGCCAUAAUAUCAUUCUGGAUAAAAGGGCAAACCCCAAUGAGGGCCUAUUCCAUCCACACAGAAAAAUCACAUGGAAAAAAAAGUUUGGGCAGACAGUCGGCCACAUAGUUGCCUGAAUGUCAAUCAAAAGAAAAACCAACAAAAUAAAAAAGAGAAGCUAAAUUACGACAAUCACGCCGAAUGGAAACCAAGUAGGAAGAACCCCUAUGCUUGUGUUUCCUAGUUUCAAAGAGCUGUAAUCAAUGUGUCUCAAAGCAAACUCACUGGAAACCCAACUCAGAAGCUAGGUUCAUAAUCCAACGGAAACCAAGAGCCUCAUAUUUUAUUUGAAAGUCACUUUUUAUCAAAUAAAGAAAACUGAAAUUAAGGGUGGAGGGAAAGGGAGGCGAGGGGAGGUAGCUUGAGCGUGAGAUACACUGUUAGAACCUACCUCUUACCUUUUUUUUAACUUCUUUACAUUUAUCAAAAUGAUCUACUGGGCAUUGAGGUAUCACGAGAAACUCUUAUUUCGUAGGUAGCACUUGAUGUAUUAAUUAAGGGUGUGGCAAAGAGAAGUCAUUUUAAUAGGUUUAACGAUGAAUUUAAAUACUAAGUAAUGAAUUCGUUCCAAAGAAAAAAAAAAUUCUUCAAAAGACAGAAGUGUAUAUAGAUUAAAAGCAUAAAUUUUUUAUCGAUUUGACUACUCCACAUGUUUAUUAUUCAAGUGAGUUAAGAUUAAGAGUAGGCAGAGGCUCUUUGAACGGCUAGAUUCCUUGGGUUUCUGCAAUUGAGUAGUUAAGGGUGGUGAAAUGUGAUUGGUGGAUUCCACGGUGGUAUUCAAUUGAGUUUAUAAUGGGUCUUUUUGUUCAUCGUUCAAAUUGAGCUUCACUCACUGGAGAACAAAAUUUUAGCGAAGAAAGAUGAACGAACAACAAAAAUGUAGAACGGAGAGCCCCUCUCUGUUCUCCUAUCUCCCUGACGAGUUGAUUCCAGCGAUUUUGGUGAGGUUACCAGUUCGAUCUCUACUCCAUUUCAAAUCAGUGUGCAAAUCGUGGCAUUCUCUCAUUUCCGAUCCCAAAUUUGGUAAAUCUCACUAUGACCUAGCUGCUGCACCCACCCACCGAUGUCUUACAAAAGGUAAUGAUUCUGAAAUUGAGUCCAUAGAUGUAGAUGCAGCAUCACUUCACAAUUCUGAGUCAUGUGUUGUAAAACUCAAAUUUCCGCUUCCACCACCCCGUAUAAGAUAUUGGGUUCAUGGUCCUAACCUCCCUAGUGAUGUUGAGUUUGUGGGUUCUUGUAGAGGGUUUGUUCUUGUAGCCUAUCCACAGGGUGAUGUUUUUGUAUGGAAUCCAUCAACUGGAGACCUUGAUGAGAUGAUUGAUUUGUAUCCAAUUGGUUUUGGGUAUGACAGAUCAGCAGAUGACUACUUGCUAGUGCUUAUGCAAGUGAUUCAUUUGAACUUUUAUGAUAGCUAUCCAGACGAAGUAGCUAAUGUGCAUACUAUUAUUCGCCUUUUUUCCAUGAAAACAAAUUCCUGGUUUGAUCAGGAGGGUACUUAUGCUCAAUAUGUGGAUAUGGGUUCUGCUGAUCUCAAAAUUGCAGCCUUCUUGAAUGACGCCCUGCAUUGGUUGGUUACCUCUUAUGAAACCAAACUUCAUGUAAUUAUUGCCUUUCAUUUGGUACAAAGGAAUUUGACUGAAAUUCCUUUGCCACAAGUUUUAGUUACGGAAUUAAAAAAGAAAUUUUGGUAUUCUUUGAGGGUUAUAGGAGAAUGUCUCAGCCUAUGUUACCCGGGUUACCCGGGUAUCAAAGAUUCAACGGCUGAGAUUUGGAUGAUGAAAGACUAUAAAGUGCAGACAUCUUGGACUAAGUUAUUUGUUUUUUCUACUUGUAACCUUCCCCGCAAUGCCAUUCAUCCAAUAUGUUUCACCAAACAUGGUGAAUUGUUUUGUUCAUACGGAUCUGGAGGAUUAAUGAUA